AUUGAACGCUGGCGGCAUGCUUUACACAUGCAAGUCGAACGGUAACAGGGUGCUUGCACCGCUGACGAGUGGCGAACGGGUGAGUAAUGCGUCGGAACGUGCCGAGCAGUGGGGGAUAACGCAGCGAAAGUUGUGCUAAUACCGCAUACGUACUGAGGUAGAAAGUGGGGGACCUUCGGGCCUCACGCUAUUCGAGCGGCCGACGACUGAUUAGCUAGUAGGUGAGGUAAAGGCUCACCUAGGCGACGAUCAGUAGCGGGACUGAGAGGAUGAUCCGCCCCACUGGGACUGAGACACGGCCCAGACUCCUACGGGAGGCAGCAGUGGGGAAUUUUGGACAAUGGGCGAAAGCCUGAUCCAGCCAUGCCGCGUGUCUGAAGAAGGCCUUCGGGUUGUAAAGGACUUUUGUCAGGGAGGAAAUCCCUAGUGCUAAUAACACUGGGGGAUGACAGUACCUGAAGAAUAAGCACCGGCUAACUACGUGCCAGCAGCCGCGGUAA
rnacentral:rRNA from 1 species